rnacentral:rRNA from 1 species
CCCCCCGGCUCAACCCGGGGAGGGUCAUUGGAAACUGGGGAACUUGAGUGCAGAAGAGGAGAGUGGAACUUCCACGUGCAGCGGUGAAAUGCGUAGAGAUGUGGAGGAACACCAGUGGCGAAGGCGACUCUCUGGUCUGUAACUGACGCUGAGGAGCGAAAGCGUGGGGAGCGAACAGGAUUAGAUACCCUGGUAGUCCACGCCGUAAACGAUGAGUGCUAAGUGUUAGGGGGUUUCCGCCCCUUAGUGCUGCAGCUAACGCAUUAAGCACUCCGCCUGGGGAGUACGGUCGCAAGACUGAAACUCAAAGGAAUUGACGGGGGCCCGCACAAGCGGUGGAGCAUGUGGUUUAAUUCGAAGCAACGCGAAGAACCUUACCAGGUCUUGACAUCCUCUGACAAUCCUAGAGAUAGGACGUCCCCUUCGGGUUAGGCAGAGUGACAGGUGGUGCACUGGUUGUACGUCAGCUCGUGUUCCGUGAGAUGUUGGGUUAACGUCCCGCAACGAGCUGCAACCCUUGAUCUUAGUUGCUCAGUCAUUCAGUUGGGCACUGUGGAAGGUGCACUGCCGGUGACAAACCGGAGGAAGGUGGGGAUGACGUCAAAUCAUCAUGCCCCUUAUGACCGAUGGGCUACACASGUCGGCUACGAAUGGWCAGAACAAAGGGCAGCCGAAACCKCGMSGUUAAGCCAAUCCSMCAAAUCKGUUCCAUCAGUWMGUGAUMGCAGWAGCCACCUUKWAUGUGUGAACCAUGAAUCGGUUGUAAUAACGAACCRGYAUUAGCCSCGGUGAAUACGUUCCCGGRGUUAUCCYAGUMYUACASCGCMSGUYACACCACGWGAGUUASUAACACCCGUCCGUCGGUCUAACAUCAGGGAGCAAGUCUACCGCGAUCAUGUCCGCUCGACUGCA